rnacentral:sRNA from 1 species
CCGGGUGCCUUCAGGGCCCGGCUGUGCUUUGGGCGCUGACCGGUUGUUGGGUCCUCAGAACGAAGCCUGCAUCGGCCCGGCGCUCCUUCGUAUCCAUCUUGCUCCUAGGAGGACUUGGCUAUGAGGA